AGUCUUCUGAAUCCAUGUCGAGGUUUCAUCAGACACCAGACCAUCAGUACUAAUGAGACUCUCAAGAUAAGUGAAGCG
rfam:Schistosoma curassoni strain Dakar, Senegal genome assembly, scaffold: SCTD_scaffold0017806